rnacentral:rRNA from 2 species
GGUUAAGCGACUAAGCGUACACGGUGGAUGCCCUGGCAGUCAGAGGCGAUGAAGGACGUGCUAAUCUGCGAUAAGCGUCGGUAAGGUGAUAUGAACCGUUAUAACCGGC